rnacentral:rRNA from 1 species
CGGAGGGAUCAUUACACAACAAAAAUAUGAGGGUGUGGUUUGCUGGCAACAGCGUCCGCCCCAAGUAUUUUUCACCCAUGUCUUUUGCGCACUUUUUGUUUCCUGGGCGAGUUCGCUCGCCACCAGGACCCAACCAUAAACCUUUUUUUAUGCAGUUGCAAUCAGCGUCAGUAUAAUAAUUCAAUUUAUUAAAACUUUCAACAACGGAUCUCUUGGUUCUGGCAUCGAUGAAGAACGCAGCGAAAUGCGAUACGUAGUGUGAAUUGCAGAAUUCAGUGAAUCAUCGAAUCUUUGAACGCACAUUGCGCCCUUUGGUAUUCCAAAGGGCAUGCCUGUUCGAGCGUCAUUUGUACCCUCAAGCUUUGCUUGGUGUUGGGCGUCUUUUUGUCUCUCCCCUUGUUGGGGGAGACUCGCCUUAAAACGAUUGGCAGCCGACCUACUGGUUUUCGGAGCGCAGCACAAAUUUGCGCCUUCCAAUCCACGGGGCGGCAUCCAGCAAGCCUUUGUUUUCUAUAACAAAUCCACAUUUUGACCUCGGAUCAGGUAGGGAUACCCGCUGAACUUAAGCAUAUCAAUAAGCCGGAGGAA